rnacentral:rRNA from 1 species
UUACCACNUUGACAUCGCAGAGAUUAGUUCGCUGACAGGUGCUGCAUGGCUGUCGUCAGCUCGUGUCGUGAGAUGUUGGGUUAAGUCCCGCAACGAGCGCAACCCUACUUUAGUUGCCACCAUAUGGGACUUUAAAGAACUGCCAGUGAUAACUGGAGGAAGGUGGGGAUGACGUCAAGUCCUCAUGGCCCUUAUGGUGGGCUACACACGUGCUACAAUGGCUUACAUGGGGCAAUGCAAGUCUAGCAAUCCCUAAAUGACCUCANUUCGGAUUGUACUCUGUAACUCGAGUGCAUGAAGCUGGAAUUGCUAGUAAUCGCGAUCANCGCGCGCGGUGAAUACGUUCCCGGGUCUUGUACACACCGCCCGUCACACCAUGGAAGUUGGUAACCUAA